GUCCGCCCGUCGCGUCGCUUCGAUGCGCAUCAGCGCAUGCGCCCCUCGCAGUCGCGACUCGCUUCCUCCUUCCCGUUCCCCAUUCAUCCUAAAGGCCUAAACCCUAGCCUCGCCUCUCCCCGCGCUCCGGCCGCUGGUGCGUCCCCUCCUUCGCCGGACGCCGGCGCCGGUGCAAGUACCCGCCGCCGCCAGCGCAUCUCGUCCAGGGCUGCACGCCCACCUGCGCCCUGUGGGCUGUGCGCCCCCAACGCGAGUUCGACGCCGACCACCGCCAGGUCGACGCCGUCUGCUCGUCACCGCGGGUGGCAGCGCCGCCGGACGGCGCCCUCCAGUGCGGCAGCGCGUGCUGGUCCGGUCUCGCGGCUCCCAGAUCCCGCCGCGGCACCCGCAGUUACUGUGCUGUUGAUGUGCCAGUCCCAGUUCGCCGCACAUGCCCUAAGAUAUGAGAUAGUCUUGUGAAAGAGAUUGGAAAGAUGGCAUCAAAAGGUCCCAGGUCAAAGCUGGACCAUGAGACAAGAGCUAGGCGUCAGAAGGCUCUUGAACCCCCAAGGGAGCCUCGACGGCCAAAAGUUCACUGGGACCAUGUCCUUGCUGAGAUGGUGUGGUUGGCAAAGGAGUUUGAUUCUGAAAGAAAAUGGAAGUUUUCUAUGGCAAAAAAGAUUGCUCAAAGAGCCAACAAGAGCAUUGUUGACCAAGCAACAAAGGGGGAGCGAAAACAGAAGGAGGAGGAGCAUAGAAUGAGAAAAGUUGCCGCAAAUAUUUCUAAGGAUGUGAAGAAGUUCUGGAUCAAAAUAGAAAAACUGGUUGUCUAUAAGCAUCAACUGGAGCUUGAGGAGAGGAAGAAAAAGGCCCUUGAUAAACAGCUUGAUUUCCUUUUAGGUCAAACUGAAAGGUAUUCAACAAUGUUGGCGGAGAACCUUGUGGACAUGCCCUAUCCCCAAAAACUGGAAAAUGGAACUUUGCAGACAAAUCAAUCAUCUCAACCUGAGGAAGUAGCAGAAGAGAAUGUAAAUGCAGCAAUAACUGAUGAUCCUGAUAAUAUGGAAGAGGAUGAUGAUUAUGAAAGCUCCUUGGAUGAAGAGCCUGAAGAUGAUGAGCGUACAAUUGAUGAGGAUGAAGCUCAGAUCACUGAAGCUGAGCGCAAUGAAGAAUUAGCUGCUUUACAGGCAGAAGGAGACCUACCACUGGAUGAUAUUCUCAAGAUGUAUACAGAAACUAAAGUUAGCAGGGAAAGCAGUCCAGACAGCAAAGACACGUUAAGUAACUUAGUCUCGAAGAAUUUGAUUGUAGAUUCUUUGAACCAGGCCAAUGGCUACGAUCAUAAAGAAUCAUGUGACGAUGGCAACUCGUCAAGUGAUGAUUGCAACUCUUCAAGUCAUGAUGGCAAUUCUUCUGAGGAAGAAGACGACGACCAAUCUUAUGCUGAUUUUGUUAAGAAGAAUCAUGGAAGAAGUAAUGGUAAUAUCUCUUCUAUCGAUGAGCAGGAGGAUGAAGACUAUGUUGCUUCUGAUGAAGACGAAGGAAAGGAUGAUGAAACAACUUUGUCUGAGGAGGAGGAGCUGGCAAAGAAAGAAGUUUCUGAUCAUCUGGACGAGAUUAAGUUAUUGCAAAAGGAGAGUGAGAUACCACUAGAAGAACUUGUGAUGUACCAGAAGGAUGGCUAUGCAGAUCAUGAAACAAUGGAGUUGGAGAAUUCACCCUGUCUUGUUGAAGAGACUAAUACUGAUAUGCCUUUGGAUGACCAAUCUACAAACAUUUUAGAAGUGAACAGUGAUACAUUUGUGGAUCACCUAUCCAUUGAUGUGCUGAAAACUGAACAUAAUGUGAGUGCUAAUUCUCUGCAAUCAGAAAUAGCACCAGAGCCUUGUGCACAACAAAAUUUUGUGGAAGAGAAUAAUCUCACUGAUGUUAACACGGUUAAUGGAGAUAAAAGUGAUGAUGUAAUUGCUGACGCUGCAGCUGCUGCCAGAUCAGCACAACCAACUGGUAACACCUUCAUGACAACAAAAGUGCGCACGAAAUUCCCAUUCCUUCUUAAGCAUUCGCUUCGAGAAUACCAGCAUAUAGGGUUGGAUUGGUUGGUUGCUAUGUAUGAGAAGAGGCUUAAUGGAAUUCUAGCAGAUGAAAUGGGUUUAGGCAAGACAAUCAUGACUAUCUCCUUGCUUGCACACCUUGCGUGUGAGAAGGGGAUAUGGGGUCCUCAUCUUAUUGUUGUACCGACAAGUGUUAUGCUAAAUUGGGAGACAGAAUUUCUCAAGUGGUGUCCUGCUUUUAAAAUAUUAACUUACUUUGGAAGUGCAAAGGAGAGAAAGCAGAAGCGUCAGGGCUGGAUGAAACCAAAUUACUUCCAUGUUUGCAUCACAACAUACAGGCUUGUCAUCCAGGACUCUAAAGUGUUUAAGCGAAAAAAGUGGAAAUAUCUUAUUCUUGAUGAGGCUCAUCUGAUAAAGAACUGGAAAUCACAGCGAUGGCAGACUUUGCUUAACUUUAAUUCGAAGCGACGCAUUCUUUUGACUGGAACGCCACUGCAAAAUGACCUUAUGGAACUUUGGUCCCUGAUGCAUUUUCUGAUGCCUCAUGUAUUUCAGUCUCAUCAGGAGUUCAAGGAUUGGUUCUGCAAUCCAAUUUCAGGAAUGGUGGAGGGCCAAGAUAAAGUAAAUAAAGAAGUUAUAGACCGAUUGCACAAUGUCCUUCGUCCAUUUAUACUGCGGCGACUGAAAAGAGAUGUUGAGAAACAGUUACCUAAGAAGCACGAGCAUGUCAUAUAUUGCCGACUUUCAAGAAGGCAAAGGAACUUAUAUGAAGAUUUUAUUGCUAGCUCAGAGACACAAGCAACACUAGCAAGUGGGAAUUAUUUUGGCAUGAUAAGUAUCAUUAUGCAACUUAGAAAGGUCUGUAACCAUCCAGAUCUUUUUGAAGGUCGCUCAAUAAUAAGCUCAUUUGACAUGGCUGGGAUUAACAUGCAUCUGAGCUAUUCAGUAUGCAUGCUCCUUGAUAAGACUCCAUUUUCUCAGGUUGAUCUAUCUGAAAUGAAUUUUCUGUUUACUCAAAAUGAAUUUAGCAUGAGUUCCUGGGAAGCUGACGAGGUGGUUGCUGCUUUUCCUCCGGGUGCUACCUCCCAGGACACUGAUUUGAAUGUUUCUUGCUCUAAUAAGGAUCAUCAGGGAGGUAAUGUAACAAAUAUUUUUGAAGAUAUUCAGAAAGCCCUACGGGAGGAGAGAAUAAAGGAAUCUAGAGAAAGGGCAGCUUCCAUUGCAUGGUGGAAUAGGGUACGGUGUCAAAAGAGGCCUGUCUAUGGCACAGACAUGAGAGAAGUUUUGACUGUAAAGCAUCCUGUAUCUGAUAUUCUCGAGAAGAGGAACAACCCUUUGUGCCACAUGGAUUAUUCAUCGAGCCUUGCAGAUCUUGUUCUUCCAUCUGUGGGACGCUUUCAGAAAAUGCUUGAUGUUGUUGAAUCAUUUACAUUUGCAAUUCCUGCUGCUCGAGCUCCUCCCCCUGUUUGCUGGUGCAGCAAAGGAAAGUCUCCUGUUUUUAUUGAUCCGGCGUACAGAGAAAAAUGCAUGAAUGAGUUCUCUCCCAUUCUGUCUCCUAUAAGGUCUGCUAUUGUUCGCCGUCAGGUUUACUUUCCUGAUAGGCGUUUGAUCCAGUUUGAUUGUGGAAAGUUGCAGGAACUUGCUAUUCUGCUGAGGCGUUUGAAGUCAGAAGGGCACAGGGCCUUGAUAUUUACUCAGAUGACUAAGAUGCUUGAUGUCCUGGAAGAGUUCAUAAAUUUAUAUGGAUAUACAUAUUUACGUUUAGAUGGUUCUACACCUCCAGAAGAGAGGCAGACCCUGAUGCAGAGGUUCAACACAAAUCCGAAGUUUUUCCUUUUUAUUCUAUCUACUCGUAGUGGUGGUGUGGGAAUCAACCUAGUAGGUGCAGACACUGUCAUAUUCUAUGACAGUGACUGGAACCCUGCAAUGGACCAACAGGCACAGGACAGAUGUCACAGGAUUGGUCAGACUCGCGAAGUCCACAUAUAUAGACUCAUUAGUGAAAGCACUAUAGAGGAGAACAUUCUGAAGAAAGCGAAUCAGAAACGAGCUCUUGAUGAUCUAGUGAUACAGCGAGGCAGCUACAAUACAGAGUUCUUCAAGAAGCUUGAUCCUAUGGAGUUUUUUUCCGGGCACACAUCUCUUCGUGUGGAAGACCAGCAGAAAGACUGCUCUGUAAGUGCUGGAUCUUCAAAUGAUUUGGAUGUGGCUUUGUCAAAUGCAGAUGUUGAAGCGGCUAUUAGACAAGCAGAAGAUGAAGCUGACUAUAUGGCUCUUAAGAAGCUGGAGCAGGAAGAAGCCGUGGACAAUCAAGAGUUCAGUGAGGAGGUUGCUGGUAGACCCGAGGAUGAUGAAUUGGUAAAUGAGGACGAUGUAAAACCCGAUGAACAAAUUAAUGAAGAACACAGAUAUAACUCUUCAGAUGUGGAGAGGGAGAAGAAUGUUGCUUUGCCCAUCAAUCAAUUAAACAAAGAAAAGGCUAUUGCAUUGGCUGUUGGUGAUGAAGAUACAGACAUGCUUGCUGAUGUGAAACAGAUGGCUGCCGCCGCAGCUGCUGCAGGACAAGCAAGUUCGUCCUUUGAAAACCAGCUCCGGCCAAUUGAUAGAUAUGCAAUGCGCUUUAUGGAACUCUGGGAUCCAGUAAUUGACAAAGCUGCUAUAAAUCAUCAAGUAAAUGUUGAGGAGGAAGAAUGGGAGCUCGAUCGUAUUGAAAAACUCAAAGAGGAUUUAGAAGCGGAAAUUGAUGAAGACCAGGAACCACUUUCUUAUGAGUCAUGGGAUCUUGAUUUUGCUACAACAGCAUAUCGCCAACAUGUUGAGGCUUUAACUCAAAAGCAGUUGUUGGAAGAACAGGAAAGACAGGCUCGGGAAGCAGCAAAAGAAUUGGAGGAGAUGAAUGAUAAUAUGAGCAGUCACCGUAGAAAGUCAAAAAAGAACAAAAAGAAGACAGGCAAGUUCAAAUCCUUGAAAAGAGGGCGUUUAUCAUCCGAGUCGGAGGUCAUACUGGAGGAAACCUCUAUAGAUACAAUGAGCAUUGAUGACAAUGCACCCUCACCUGAGCAUAUGAGUGAUGACUCACCACGCCAUUAUUCUAACAAGCGUAAGAAGAUUAUGUCUGCUACUGAGGAAGAAAACAGUAACAGCAGAAGUUUGAAGAAGUUCAAGAAAGCCACUAAAUCAAAUUGUAUCUCCGAGGCCUUGUCACCUAGGCACUUGAGGGAAGAGCUUAAUGAUUCAGAUCCAAAAUCAGCAUCUAGAACUAAGAGUGAUGGAAGAAUUUCCAUCCCUUGCAUGCCAGUAAAACGUGUUAUUUUAAUAAAGCCUGAGAGACUAAAAAAGAAGGGACUAUGGUCUCGUGAUUGUACUUCAGACUCAUGGACAUCUGAGGAAGAUGCAGUUCUUUGUGCAACUGUACAUGAGUAUGGUCCUCUUUGGGAACUGGCAAGUGAUUUUCUUCAUUCCUUACCAGGUGGGGCAUUUUAUAGGGGAAGAUAUCGUCAUCCUGUGCAUUGCUGUGAGAGAUACCGAGAACUAUUCUGCAAAUAUGCAAUGUCAGCAACAGAUAAUUCUAACAGUGAAAAGAUUCCUUCUGGGACUGGAAAGGCUAUACUGAGAGUAUCUGAGGAUCAAGCUCAGAUGUUGGUGGAUGUGACCAGUGAACUUCCUAACAAUGAAUUGCUUCUCCAGAAACACUUCAUGGCUGUACUUUCAUCUGUCUGGAGAUCAAAAUGUUGGCGUGGUCCCCACCGUGUUACAAGUACUUACUCUAGUGCACUACGUAUGUUUUCUCCUGCGAAAAAGCAUGGUGAAUCAAGUGAGAACUGGCCCAUGGUAAACUUUAGACCAAGCACCAAUCUAGUGAGGACAGCCCUCGCAGAUGCUCAGGCUCAAUGCACACGAAUGGCGAUUCCGCCACCAAUGAGAAAUCAGGAAUACCGCCAGAAUUAUUUAGAAUUAGAGUUGGAUUUCUUGACAGAUCAACAUCAUUAUGAUGAGGACUUCCCAUCUGUAGUGAAUGUGUCCAUACUAGAACCAGAGCCAAUCAAACAGGCUACGGAACCAGUGGAACAAUCAUUAUUGUCUGGAACUUCUUGUAGACAAGCUGAGAACCGAUUCAGGAUAGCAUCCGAAGCUUGUUACGAAGGUGAAGGUUCUCAUUGGGCAUCAUCAGCUUUCCACAUAAAUGAUGCCACCCGGCACAAAUCUGGUCCAAAGACCAUAGGAAAGCACAAAGCAGCACCAGAAUGUGGAAGACCUCCCAAAUCCAAAAUCCAGAAGAUUACUGAAUCACAUCAGGAAGUGCCAAUUGCCUCCAGUCAUUUUCUCCGGAUGCCUGGAUUGCCAGGUGCAGCUGACUUCAACAUUAACGAGUCCCUAUCUGACUUUGGUAUCAGUGAUUCUGAAUUCAACUACUCUGAGGAUCUGUGGCAAGAGGUUGACUCCCUCGAGUUCCUCCCGAACCAGGAUGACUCUGUUCUCCUUCCUGGUAUUGAGGAGUUAGAGCCUCUUUCAGAUUUCACAGACAUCGGAUGAACAUAGAUGAGUAAAAUUGUUCCUGAUGGCAUGCCCCUCUAUCAAGAGGCCUCUGGCUGGAUCCCAAGGAUAUAGAUCGAGUUGCUCAGCUGGGCACAGAUGUCCUGCAAGCUUGAUCAUGGUUCGCUGGAGCAAAGCUGUUGGCUUGGUGAGGUCACAUUGAUCCGACAAGCUUGGGGGAUGGGUUUGCACUAAUGGCGGCAUUGGGUAAUUUCCAUACAUGUACAGACACAGAAGGGGAAAGAGAAGGCCCUCGGCAUCACCCAUUCGUUGCUGUUUCCCAUGUUUUAUCAUUCUCUAUUUUGUUCAGGGCUGGUUUCCAUCUCUAUAUCAGAAAUUUAUGAUGUGUCAAUGUAGCUGCAAAAGAAUGAUCAGAGUCAAUUGCAGCUUAUGUGAAGGGGAAUGCUGGCUUUUGGGCAGAACCAAUGCAGCUACAGGAAGAAUGAUUAGAGCCAAUGUAGAUGCAAAUGAAUGAGCAAUGCUUGGGAUUAAUAUCAUCAUGAACUGGUCUUCAAGUGCACAUGAGGAUUGCGGUUUCUGGUUUGAUAGUGAUUCUGAAGGCAUUUUUUUUAUUCGAAGGGUGGUUCAUUGGAGGUAAGAGGACCAUAGGUAUAAAUGCACAUAAAUUGAUGCAGUAGUAAUCAAAUGGUCACAUUGUGGACUUGUGGCCCUGUGGACUGCUUCUCGGUUGUUACGCCCUUCACUUCGCAUUCUCUGUAUGAGGUGACUGGUGAUGAGGGGGCUUGGAAAACUGCUGAGUGGGAAUGUCAUUGACACAGUUACCUAGACUGAAAUCUUAAGAAUUGUGUCAGUGGCUUUUCACAUUUCAUGACACUCCUCUUUUCUCUUCUCACAAUGUUAGUAAAUUUAAUGUCAUGAUACUCUUAUGAUACUUCCAUUGAGAUUGGUCUAAGCCUGUAACUCUGCAAUAAUGUGCACGACUCCAUAUUAAUCUGGAGUUGCAUCACUGCAAAGCAACGGCGAGAUGAUUGAGGUCU